rnacentral:rRNA from 1 species
GACUGCAGCUAUAGUGGCGCACGGGUGCACUAAUGUUUGGGUAACGCUACCCUUCCGCUUGGGGAUAACCAAGGGAAACUUUGGCUAAUACCGAAUAGUCCUGUGGAGUGAGAAUCUCUAUAGGUAAAGCCGUAAGGCGCGGUUGGAGCGGCCCAAAUCUCAUUAGCUAGUUGGUAGGGUAACGGCCUACCAAGGCAUCGAUGAGUACCUGGUCUGAGAGGAUGAUCAGCCACACUGGUACUGGAACACGGACCAGACUCCUACGGGAGGCAGCAGUUAGGAAUUUUGCGCAAUGGGGGAAACCCUGACGCAGCAACGCC